GACGAACGCUGGCGGCGUGCUUAACACAUGCAAGUCGAACGGAAAGGCCCCCUUGUGGGGUACUCGAGUGGCGAACGGGUGAGUAACACGUGAGUAACCUACCCUUGACUUUGGGAUAACUUCAGGAAACUGGGGCUAAUACCGGAUAGGAGCUCCUGCUGCAUGGUGGGGGUUGGAAAGUUUCGGCGGUUGGGGAUGGACUCGCGGCUUAUCAGCUUGUUGGUGGGGUAGUGGCUCACCAAGGCUUUGACGGGUAGCCGGCCUGAGAGGGUGACCGGCCACAUUGGGACUGAGAUACGGCCCAGACUCCUACGGGAGGCAGCAGUGGGGAAUAUUGCACAAUGGGCGGAAGCCUGAUGCAGCAACGCCGCGUGCGGGAUGACGGCCUUCGGGUUGUAAACCGCUUUCGCCUGUAACGAAGCGUGAGUGACGGUAAUGGGUAAAGAAGCACCGGCUAACUACGUG
rnacentral:rRNA from 1 species